rnacentral:lncRNA from 1 species
GGUAUAAUCAAAAAUCUACAAUCCUACAGAGCCUCAUCAGUGCUCUACUGAGUCAAUGUCCAUAAAACAUUAACAGCAUUUUGAGGAAGUGAUUUCACCAGUAACCGGAAAAAGGUUAGAGUUACACUCAUCAAGAAAUAGUGGAAAUAACUAAAGAGAAACUAGCGCUUGGACUGAAAACAACCCAAUUUGUGACAUGCAGACUCAAAGAAUUUGGCUUUUUCUCGUUAUCUUUUCUUGCAUAACUGUGAUUUUUCUCCCCUGUACGUGCUCAGGCUUGAACACACCAGAAAUGAUACUGGAGAGCACAGUGUUUAUGGCCUUCAAAGGCGGAGAGCUCACUAUUAAAUGUGUUCUCAGGAAACCAAUAAACCAAACUAAAGAUUUCCUGAGGUGCUUUAAUCCAUCAAAUGCUGAGAUAUUCAGGGUUCCCAUCCCUGAAACAGGUAGCAUAGAGACAACAACCAAACUGGAAUUGAAGUUGACAAACCUGGUAACUUCAGGAGAAUAUCAUUGCCAGUAUAAAACGGUGAAAGAGUCCUGGUUUCUUCGAGUGAGAGCUGAAGGCUACAGAAUGCCACCGAUCCCCAAUUACCCAGAGUUUAUCACCAUGGCCAUCAUCACUGGUUUUCUGCUGCUCUUCAGUGUGGUUGGUUCGGUGUAUGUCUUCAGAGGACAUUGGAGGAAUACCAAUCGUGAUGACUCUGGAAAAAAGCAGACAAAGGAAAAUCAGCAAAACCCAGAGGAAGAGGAGUAUAAUGUGGAUGUAACGGGGGCUCAGUCUACGUCUUUUUAUGCUAGUCUUGAUUCCCGGCCCAGGUCUGUUUAUGACGUGUUGGACUGCUCAGAUGCCAACAAAGAGCCAAGCAAGAACAAACUGAAACCCAAGAAAAGUGAACUUCUGAACACGGUGCAACCAAACAUAGAACAGCCAGAUGAAGGUGUUUUUGAGUCUGUUUAUGAGAACAUCUGAAUUAUGAAUGAACAGGCUUGGAAAAAGAGCAUGGUACAUGCCAUCAUUCUUCUGACAUCUAUGCCAAAAAAAUGUAUUUAUUGUAACACACACCACAGACAGACACACACACACACACACACACACACACACACACACACACACACACACACACACACACACACACACACAUUGUUCCAAUUGCUCUUCUUUAAAGAUCUGUGCUGAACUAAAUUAAUAAAUCUUAGAUGGACCCAUAAUCUUUUCGUUGC